GGCUGAAGUCGGACGCUUAACCGACUGCGCCACCCAGGCGCCCCAAAAAACUUAAACUCUUAAACCAAAGAGGCAGCCUGGAAUGAACUCCUAAAUGAGGAUCAGGCAAUUGUAAAACCCUCUGAAACCUGCAGCCAGAGAAUCGAUAGAUUGGGAAAUUACCUUUUCCCUCUGUUACUAACCUUACAGAUUAGCAGGAAAGCAUUUCUAUUCCCUCUCUCCACCCCUAUACUUCUCUGGGACAAGAAAUAGAAUCAUACAGGAAAACAGAAAAGACUUACAGAUUCUGCCAUUUGAGAGUCCCCCAAUGAAAAUGCUGCCUCACCUGGUCACCUGACAGUGAAACUCAUUAGUGUGCCCUACAUUAAUGCCAAUAAGCUUUUUAGUAUCUUGAUUUCAAAUAUUAAUGGACAAACAUGAACCAUUAGACAAUCAAGCCUCAGCAUGAAGGAGAAUAG